rnacentral:rRNA from 1 species
UACAUGGGGUGCAAACGUUGCUCGGAAUUAUUGGGCGUAAAGCGCACGUAGGUGGUCUGUUAUGUCGGAUGUGAAAGCCCUCGGCUUAACUGAGGAAGUGCAUCCGAAACUGGCAGGCUUGAGUACGAAAGAGGGUCGCGGAAUUCCCGGUGUAGAGGUGAAAUUCGUAGAUAUCGGGAGGAACCCCGGUGGCGAAGGCGCUCUGCUGGGCCAUAACUGACACUCACAGGACGAAAGCUAGGGGAGCGAAUGGG